UAUCCUUCAACCUAUUUCAUUCUGCCCAUUAUCUGAAAGAGCUCCUUGCAAGAACCAUGGAGUCUAUGGCAUUGGAUUUGAGGAUCACUGCAGUGGAAAAUAAAACUUUUCCUCUGCAACACCUUUGUUGCCCAGAGGAAUCUCUCAUUGGUCAGCCCUCACUGAAGAUGAGCGUCCGCAGAUCUACCAUCAAAUUAAGCGUUGCAGAGUAUAAUAAAAGGAAAAGCAUGAACAGUAGCUUCUGCUCAUUCUCUGGCCGCACCAGGACACCUGUGUAUCACACAUCAAAUAUUACAGUUUGUGAGCAGUGUUGAAUUAAGCCCCGGGGACUAGAGUCUUACCCACAGAACAAGCACAGCCAGGUAAGGAGCAAUGCAUGUUCAUCCUCACUACUUUAACCUUCUUUACUGGUGUCAUUUGCUACUGGGAAAGGGGCCUAUGUCUUUCAAUGCUGAAACCUGCCAUGCUACUUAAUGUCUCAGGGUGGAAUCCACAAACCUGGGUUAUGUGCUCAUGUUAACGUGCUGGGUUAUGAACUAUGUCAUUUAUGGGGGGAGUUGGGUGUUUCAGGAAUGAAUGUACCACAGUGGGCACAGCAAGUGGGAAACCAGCAGAAAGUGCUGAUAAAAGUGUGUGUCCUAAUCCUGCCUGUUUUGGGAUAGGGUGGCACCUAUGUCAGAACCCAAAACCAUCUCUCCAAGAGUUAGCUGU
rnacentral:lncRNA from 1 species